GUGUGUUUAGCUGAUCGGUGGUAUAUGAGCAGCUCUCAUGAAUAUAGAAGGUCGUGGGUUCAAAUCCUGCAACACACA
rnacentral:tRNA from 1 species